GAUGAAGAACGUAGCGAAAUGCGAUAAGUAAUGUGAAUUGCAGAAUUCAGUGAAUCAUCGAAUCUUUGAACGCACAUUGCGCCCCCCGGCAUUCCGGGGGGCAUGCCUGUUCGAGCGUCUCCAGGACAAGUCCUCGCGCGAGUGAACGCGCGGUCGUGGCGGAGGUGGCGUGCCCGAGCAGGGCGGCCACCGCGCUGGAAUCCAUGGGCGGACGCCUGCCGCGUGGCCGAGCGUGAUAUGACGCAUUGGCGCUCGUGCGCGGCGAGGCUGCCAGCCCUGGCCCGUCUGUCGGGCGGGGUAGAUCACCACGUGGGAACUCCUCGAAUCAGGUAGGGAUACCCGCUGAACUUAAGCAUAUCAAUAAGCGGAGGA
rnacentral:misc_RNA from 1 species